rnacentral:lncRNA from 1 species
AGCAAAUUGACUUGGAAGUCGUUCAUGUACCACAGCAGUGUGUCAUGAGUGCUGCAUAACCAGCCCUGUCUGAACCGAGUCCUAUCUGUUCUUGGCAAUGUGGUUGUGUAAUAUUUACUGCAGAUUCUUCCAAGAAUGAAGCACCACAGCGGCUCCAAAAUCCAGACCCACCGGAAAUGGAGAGAAAGCCCAGCAAAUUACGAGAAGCCACAGAUGAUGGCAGCCUACCUCUCUCCCCAAUAGGCGGUGGCUAUCAAUGUGCUAAAUGCGGUUCUGAGCAUGGUGUGCCCUUUAAAUGUCAACAGUGUUCCUUCACGUGUUGCAACAAAUGUUGGGAGAAUUCCUUGAAGCUUGCCAAGAAGUGCCCAGAAUGCCAAGCGGACACCAAGAGAAGACACUUGGCCAUAUCUUACUGGCCAGAUCCCCCCGUGAAAGACACGUAGAGUGAACACGUGAACUGCUCAAUGGGUUCUGCAGGCUGUAUGGCUGGCUCCAGCUGCUCUGUGUGGAAGAGGAACAACAGAAUUGCAAGUGGUUUUAAGUCGGAUCCUCCAGGCUAACCUUAACCCCACCCCGCUUCUUAAGAGAAGCCACACGGUCUUCAACAUGACUAUUCUCCAUAUAUUUGAGCCACUCAAGUGCUCCUGUCUGUUUCAGUCAAUCCAGAUGGCAUUUAAAUCAGAGUUAAUAUUUUAUCAUCUUUUUCUAAUGAUGACCUUUGCAGUCAGACCGGGUAUCACUAAGCCUAUUGUCUUUAUUAUGGGAAAAUUAAAAAGGAC